GACGAACGCUGGCGGCGUGCUUAACACAUGCAAGUCGAACGGGCCCGCUCUCUUUUUUGGGGGUGGGUUGAGUGGCGAACGGGUGAGUAUCACGUGAGUAACCUGCCCCCUGCUCCUGGAUAACUGCUUGAAAGGGCGGCUAAUACGGGGUGUGCCGGCUGGUCCGCAUGGGCCUGGUCGGGAUAGUUUCAUCUUCGGGUGUUUCGGUGGGGGAUGGGCUCGCGGCCUAUCAGCUUGUUGGUGGGGUGAUGGCCCACCAAGGCGGUGACGGGUAGCCGGCCUGAGAGGGUGGGCGGCCACACUGGGACUGGGACACGGCCCAGACUCCUGCGGGAGGCAGCAGUGGGGGGUAUUGCGCAAUGGGCGGAAGCCUGAUGCAGCGACGUCGCGUGAGGGAUGGAGGCCUUCGGGUUGUGAACCUCUUUCUCCGGUGGUGAAGGCCCUGUCCGUUGCGGCGGGGUUGACGGUAGCCGGGUAUGAAGCGCCGGCUAACUACGUG
rnacentral:rRNA from 1 species